AAGCAUGUCCCUUCUUUGGCAAAGGCUACUCGCUCGCGGUAGACUUUGCUAGCUUUAUUGUUGGCUCUAAGCCUACCUCCUUGACUACAUCCGGAUAACCGCCUACCUGUCUUUACAGAAGAAGCAGUGCAGUAAGCGUCUCCGGACAUAGAAAGUAGGCAAUCACUUUCACUCCGUUAGCGGUGUAGGUUUCAGUCGUAGUUUCUGGUAUCGACACAGAUAGUGGAAAAUCUCUAUACGAUUUAAGUCAGUGUGCAAGACAAAGUAUAGUUUUUACUUUGAGUUCCUCUUUUAAUAAAAUAACAGAAAAUAAGCAUUCCACAGUCGUAGGUACUCAAUUCAAUUGGAUGAACUGCUUGAGCUGGAGCUUUGGACUCGACGAGGGGGUGCUUGCCCUAUUGAGAGUCUCUUCCAUUCUCUCUU
rnacentral:lncRNA from 1 species